rnacentral:lncRNA from 1 species
AGGAAACAACAGACACUGGGGUCCGCUUAAGGCGGGAGGGUGGGAGGAGAGAGAGGAGCAGAAAAGAUAACCAUUGGGUACUGAGCUGAAUACCUGGGUGAUGUCAUAAUAUGUAUAGCAAACCUGUUACUGUGGAAGUUAAAAUAUGCAACAAUAGCACAAGUUACCUAUGUAAUAAACCUUCACAUGUAUCCCUAAACCUAAAAUAAAGAUGAAAAACAGAAGAAACAUAAAAUGACACCAAGGCAUAUUAUAAUCAAAUUGCUUAAAACCAACGAUAAAGAGAAAAUCUGAAAAGCAGCCAGACAGAAAAAACACAUUAUACAGAGGAAAAGAUUCAUAAACUGAAGACCGAUAGCAAAAUGAUGUUCAGUUAAGCAAAUUCAACAUGUCUGAACCUUCAUAAAUUCGGUAUAGUGUGAAUUUAUGAUCUAAAUUUUUUUUUACUAUCCUAUUAUUCUAUUCACUGUGAAAAAUAUUUCUUUGAAAAGUUACUGGAUUUCUUUACACACUGCUAUGGACUGAAUGUUUGUGUCACUCCCAAAUUCGCAUGUUGAAAUCCUAGCCCCCAGUGAUGCUGUCCUGCAGUGUGAUCCUGGCCUCGGGAGACGUCUGUCCCCAGCAGAGCUAAUCACCUUUACUCUUUGGGUGAAAUUGAAACUGAUAAUAUUUUGAUGUCAACGCAUCUCAUUCAAGAGCUGAGCUGUGAAAUCCUACGAAGCCAUGGCAGGGUGUAGCUUUCUGAGGUUAUCCAAUCCUAUCUGGUGACCGAUCCAGGAAAAGAGGAAAUGAAGCUGGCCCUCCUGUGUGGCUUGGGGAGAACCUAGAUAGAGCCUCAGAUCCUGGGCAUCGAUAUUCCACAUGGAUCCUGUUUGUACCUCUUGUAUUCACACCGGGGAAACUGCAAAGGGAAGACUGCUAAGUAAUGAAAAGGGACACAGUACCAUGCAGUUGAACACCAUGUCAAGUGAGGAUAAAGGAAAACAGCCAUGACAUCACUCCAUUACUGCCACCCCCAGUGUGCCUCACAGGCCCUGCAAUUUAUAAUCUUGUUUAAUCCUCCAAGCAACCGAGGAAUACAGAUAUCAUCGCCCCUGCUGUACAGAUAAGGAAGCAGAGGCUCAUUGGGGUCCAGGAGCAUGCCUGUGGACAAAUAGCUCCUAAAUGACAUUGAGUUUUAAACCCAAUCUCCAAAAAGCCUGUAUGUUUUGAGCGCCUAUGAUGUGUCAUCAGACAGUGAGGCAGGUACUUGGGAUACAAUCAGAUAAAUGGCAGAGAACCUAUCCAAGAAGCCCACAAGCUGGAAGCGAAUACAAGAAACGCCAUCACUCAUAGCCAUGACAAUUACUGAGUGCCUGUCACAUGCCUGGCAUUGUUCCCAUUCAUGACUUCAGUUCAGCCUCCCACCAGCCCACUGACCAAGGCACUAUUUUCCAUGAUGUCUUCACUUUCUGACUUUAAAACCCAGACUCUUCACCAUUAGAUCAUGUGCCUGAGAUCAAUGGCAAGAGAUGAAAGCCUGGCCAAAGCACUGUGUUAAUAAAGUAGGCUGAUUAUACAGUUUACUACAAGUAGAAGGAAUUGCCACAAACUGGUACUUCUGGAGCAGUGUUCAGGAAGAAGGCAGGAACUGCAGCUGAAUCUAGUAAUAAGACACGAUGAUGAUGAUGAUGAUGACAGCAAUGACAACAGCAACAACAAAAAUAGAGGCUGGGUGUGGUGGCUCAU